rnacentral:sRNA from 1 species
GCCGGGUGCAGCGGCCCACGCCUGUAAUCCCAGCGGCUCUAGAGGCUGAGGAAGGAGAAUCGCGAGUUCAAAGCCAGCCUCAGCAAUGGUGAGGCUCUAAGCAACUCAGUGAGACCCUGUCUCUA